GACGAACGCUGGCGGCGUGCUUAACACAUGCAAGUCGAACGGAAAGGCCCUGCUUUUGUGGGGUGCUCGAGUGGCGAACGGGUGAGUAACACGUGAGUAACCUGCCCUUGACUUUGGGAUAACUUCAGGAAACUGGGGCUAAUACCGGAUAGGAGCUCCUGCUGCAUGGUGGGGGUUGGAAAGUUUCGGCGGUUGGGGAUGGACUCGCGGCUUAUCAGCUUGUUGGUGGGGUAGUGGCUUACCAAGGCUUUGACGGGUAGCCGGCCUGAGAGGGUGACCGGCCACAUUGGGACUGAGAUACGGCCCAGACUCCUACGGGAGGUAGCAGUGGGGAAUAAUGCACAAUGGGCGGAAGCCUGAUGCAGCAACGCCGCGUGCGGGAUGACGGCCUUCGGGUUGUAAACCGCUUUCGCCUGUGACGAAGCGUGAGUGACGGUAAUGGGUAAAGAAGCACCGGCUAACUACGUG
rnacentral:rRNA from 1 species